rnacentral:ncRNA from 1 species
UAAAGGUUUUCGACCUAAUCGUCGGAACGAAAGAGGGAAGACGGGUGAAAAUCCCGCGCAGUCCCGCUGCUGUAAAUGGGGAAUGAACUUUCAAAAUCCCACUGGCCGUACCGGCUGGGAAGGGGAAAGUUUAUUUGGAUCCAUGAGCCAGAAUACCUGCCUUUGCUAGAU